GUCAACCAUGUGCAGGCCUAUACAUGGGAGUGAAUCGUGUGGAGGGGAGGAGCCUGCAGGAAGAGAAGACCACGGGGCCUCCCAGAAUGCCGUUGGGCAUCACGUUGUUGAGCUCCGGGCGGCCCAAGCCAGAGCAGCCAGCUGCCUCUGCAUUUCCUCCAGCUGGGUCACGUAUUCGUCACAGCUGCAAGAAACAAAGAUGGAGAACCUUAAAGUCACGCAUGCAGGCCGUGGGCAGUAGCUGCUCUUGAAUAUUUGGACAAAGUCAAAAAAGGCAGAUGAGCUAUGAAGCUAGCGAGCUUGUCUCAGGGAAGAGGAUUUGUCCGCCACCUUCAGCAAACAAAAUAAAAGUCUCACACAGAAGCUUUGCAUCAACCAGAGGUCUAAACAUGUGAUAUCGUCUCAGGGUCAACGACCUGGCCUAAAUAUCGACUCUGAACCCAGAUUACACUGGGAAAUAUAAACACAGAUAAUGUUGAUAGAAGAGGAAGAAUCUUAACACAACACAUCAUUUUGACUAAAACAACUCAUUAAAUGUAAGAAGUUUGGAAUAUAAGAAAAAUAAUAUUUUUAUACAAAAAAAAGGAUCUAACUGACACACUUAAAACAAAUCCCACAUUAAA